CAGACCAGGGUUGGGGAGGCCUGGCUGGGGAGAGGCAAUCCCGGGAAGGAGGGGCAGACCAUCAGAACCGAGGAUGGCACUGAGCCUUAACAUCACACAUCCAUUUUGGAUACUCCGGGAGCCAGGUCAGGGGACCUCCUAAAGCCCUGCAGCUCUGAAACUCUAUGAAAAUUCAUCUCCUUGUUUCCUAUCUAAUUUAAAUCUUGCAAUCACCGCUGGGAAGUGAGCUGUAUCAUCUUGAGAAAUCAGACCACAGAGUCGGGCCUGCAGCUGGCAGGCUAGGUCAUCUUUAAUCGCUUAACCCUUCAUAUCAAAGGAUGGGUUGUAGCAGCAGAUUCUUCCUCAAGAAUUUGCCGUGGCAGAUUUUCUCAAGGAAAAGCUGGGAGUUAAAAUGAAGCAGAGUAUGUACAGCAAAAACCUUGCCUCUCAAUGGAAUAUUACCAAAUGUGACACAAACAGAGAUCUUAAAGGCACAUGUACAUUGAAGUUGUCUUCUCCUGCUGCUCUUGGAAGCCCUUAACCAACACAAGGUCAAUGAACCGGGGCAAGCCUUCUAGAGACAUGUGGCCCAGUGAUACCUGCCACCCCAGAUGAUAGCCACCACCAACUGCCAGUCACACGAAUGGAGCCGUCCUACGCCAAGUGGCCCCCAUCCCAGUUGUGAGCUCUCUGCAGCCAUAGGAGUGAGCACGGGGGAGGCUGGCAGGAGAACUGGCCUGCUGAGCCCAGCCCAGUCCAGAUUGCCCACCCGCAUAAUCACGAGUUAAUACUAAAUGGUUG